GGGGAUAGUUCUAAGAAGCCUGUCCGCGGGCGUCCCAUGAGCGAAAUUUUAAUACACGGACUGCGCUCGGAGAAACUCUUCUGGUCUUUCUUUCGGACGGGGGUUCGACUCCCCCCGCCUCCACCA
rnacentral:tmRNA from 1 species